rfam:Rhodopirellula sallentina SM41 cSM410219, whole genome shotgun sequence.
GCCCCUAUAGCUCAGUUGGUAGAGCAAAUGACUCUUAAUCAUUGGGUCCUAGGUUCGAGUCCUAGUGGGGGUA